GUGCCAGCAGCCGCGGUAAUACGGAGGAUCCAAGCGUUAUCCGGAAUCAUUGGGUUUAAAGGGUCCGUAGGCGGGUCCAUAAGUCAGUGGUGAAAGUCUGCAGCUCAACUGUAGAAUUGCCAUUGAUACUGUGGACCUUGAGUAAUUGUGAAGUGGUUGGAAUAUGUAGUGUAGCGGUGAAAUGCAUAGAUAUUACAUAGAAUACCGAUUGCGAAGGCAGAUCACUAACAAUUCACUGACGCUGAGGGACGAAAGCGUAGGUAGCGAACAGGAUUAGAUACCCGAGUAGUCC
rnacentral:rRNA from 1 species